ensembl:piRNA 21ur-9734 ncRNA
UUUUUUGGUUUUUUCACGACU